UACGUAGGGACCAAGCGUUGUUCGGAUUUACUGGGCGUAAAGGGCGCGUAGGCGGCGCGGUAAGUCACUUGUGAAAUCUCUGAGCUUAACUCAGAACGGCCAAGUGAUACUGCAGUGCUAGAGUGUGGAAGGGGCAAUCGGAAUUCUUGGUGUAGCGGUGAAAUGCGUAGAUAUCAAGAGGAACACCUGAGGUGAAGACGGGUUGCUGGGCCAACACUGACGUGAGGCGCGAAAGCGUGGGGAGCAAACAGGA
rnacentral:rRNA from 1 species